rnacentral:misc_RNA from 1 species
GAUGAAGAACGUAGCGAAAUGCGAUAAGUAGUGUGAAUUGCAGAAUUCAGUGAAUCAUCGAAUCUUUGAACGCACAUUGCGCCCCAUGGUAUUCCGUGGGGCAUGCCUGUUCGAGCGUCAUUUACCCCUCAAGCUCCGCUUGGUGUUGGGCGUCUGUCCCGCUUCGCGCGCGGACUCGCCCCAAAGGUAUUGGCAGCGGUCGUGCCAGCUUCUCGCGCAGCACAUUGCGCUUCUCGAGGCACCGGUGGGCCCGCGUCCAUCAAGCUCACCCCCCCAGUUUGACCUCGGAUCAGGUAGGGAUACCCGCUGAACUUAAGCAUAUCAAUAAGCGGAGGA